ensembl:lncRNA
CCGCCAGCCUCCCCGGUGCUGCCACGGCCGGGAUGUGGGCCUGCUGGAACGGGCUGCUGGGCGGGCUGUGCGGCCUGGCCGAGGCGGCCUGCGGGCUGGCGCUGGGGGCCGUGGAGGGGCUGGGCGGCCUGCUGAGGGGCUGCUGCUCCGCCCUGGAAGGCCUGAAGGUGCUGGGCCACCUGCUGACCCACCUGGGGCUGCGGGGCAGGGAGCUGCUGCAGCAGAUCCCGCAGGCACAUCCAGGGAUGAGUCGAAGCACUGUGUCUGGGCAGCGUCUCCAGGCAUCCAGGGACGAGCCAAGCACCUCUUGGGGGAAAGCUCCAAGAAGAGAGCAGCUGAACGCAGCAGCUGGGGAUGGAGCAGGCGCUCCAGACAACGACCCCUGGAUGCUUCUGAAAGAACAAGAGGAACGUAAGAAAUGCGUCAUCUGUCAAGAUCAAACCAAGACAGUGCUGCUUCUGCCCUGCAGGCACCUGUGCCUGUGCCAGGAGUGCACAGAAGUCCUCCUGCAGCAGGCUAUCUACCAACGCAACUGCCCGCUGUGCCGCCAGAUGAUCCUCCAGACGCUCAACGUGUACUUGUGAACUGUGGGGUGGUGGUUUGGGUUGUUUUUUCCAGGUGUCUUUCAGCCACAUCCAGUGCACAACUAGGCUGUAGAUCCUGCUAGCAGGCACAGUAGCUGAUCUCUGCAGCAGGCUGAAAGGUUGUGUUUUUUUGUUUUUGUUGUUGUAUUUGACAACUUCUGUUUCAAGGCCUGUUGCCUUGAGCCUGUGAUCUGAAACAAAGCACAGAGGGAUGCUCUGGUUCCUCCUAGCCAAAGCUGAUGAAAGGAUAAAAGCUGUGCCAUCUUGGAAAUUACUGGAACUGGUGCAAGGCAAAGGAGUGUUUUUCUACCAAGGCUUGGCCAAAAAUUUAUCUGGUGGACUGCAUUUGCAUUCUUCUUUCCUCCUGCCAUUUAAGUGGGGCAGCUCCCAGGGAAGGGAUUUGCAUGCCCCUUUUGCAGGCUCUAGCAAAGCACACUUGAGCUUUUUAGGCUUUUCUACCAAAGGGCUGAGCCCAGCUCUCAGCUGGAGGACAGCAGGGCUUCUGAGGCUCCUUAACAUCCCAGCCAUUAUGGCUUUGGAGUCCAAAUUUUCCCUUGCUAGUAGGAGCCACGAUGAGCACCAUCUCCCUGCAGGACAGCUGACUGCAGAGCUCAGUGCUGCUGCUGCUUCCACACCUAUGCAAGACCAGCAAGCACAUACUGUGUUACUUGCAUGGAGGGGCUUGAAGAGAGUUUGUUACCUGUUGCCUGGGGAACCUGAGCAGCCCUCAGGCUGGAGAGCAUUUGCCACUUCCCAGGCUGGGCUGGCAGGAAGGGGUGGCUCUUUGGGAGGCAAGGGGACACCCCAAUCCUCCUUGAAGCCCACUGAGACAUUCCAGCUCCAGGCACAAGUGCAAUGGACCUGCAGACUUGUGCUGUGUCGAGGUCUGAUGGUGUGUGAGAGCAGCUCUGCAGGGACUGCUGUGUGCUGGAGUCUCUUCAUCCUCACCUCCCAGCCACUUCUGCAGCUCAGAUGGACUCACCCCUGGUUGGGGCCAGCUAGCGAUCUUGGGGUGCAGUGUUUCCUAGUGUGUUUCAGGGGAGGAAGGACACCUCCAGACUGCGAUUUCUCCCUACAAAUCUUUUUUUUAAUUAUUAUUAUAGCAGUCAUUGUUUUAGGGGCCCAUUUGUUUUUUGCCUGUUUAUAA